GAUGAAGAACGUAGCGAAAUGCGAUAAGUAAUGUGAAUUGCAGAAUUCAGUGAAUCAUCGAAUCUUUGAACGCACAUUGCGCCCGCCAGUAUUCUGGCGGGCAUGCCUGUUCGAGCGUCAUUUCAACCAUCAAGCCCUGCUUGCGUUGGGGUCCUGCGGCUGCCCGCAGGCCCUGAAAACCAGUGGCGGGCUCGCUAGUCACACCGAGCGCAGUAAUACAUCUCGCUUUGGGCGUGCGGCGGGUUCUUGACGUUAAACACCCCCUUUUUACCAAGGUUGACCUCGGAUCAGGUAGGAAUACCCGCUGAACUUAAGCAUAUCAAUAAGCGGAGGA
rnacentral:misc_RNA from 1 species